rnacentral:rRNA from 1 species
UGGGGAAUAUUGCACAAUGGGCGCAAGCCUGAUGCAGCCAUGCCGCGUGUAUGAAGAAGGCCUUCGGGUUGUAAAGUACUUUCAGUGGGGAGGAAGGGAGUAAAGUUAAUACCUUUGCUCAUUGACGUUACCCGCAGAAGAAGCACCGGCUAACUCCGUGCCAGCAGCCGCGGUAAUACGGAGGGUGCAAGCGUUAAUCGGAAUUACUGGGCGUAAAGCGCACGCAGGCGGUUUGUUAAGUCAGAUGUGAAAUCCCCGGGCUCAACCUGGGAACUGCAUCUGAUACUGGCAAGCUUGAGUCUCGUAGAGGGGGGUAGAAUUCCAGGUGUAGCGAUGAAAUGCGUAGAGAUCUGGGGGAAUACCGGUGGCGAAGGCGGCCCCCUGGACGAAGACUGACGCUCAGGUGCGAAAGCGUGGGGAGCAAACAGG